UGCGCUAAAUCUUUUUAAUUUACAUUAUUUUUAAAUAUCCCACUCCUUCUCCGUACAAUCACUUAGGAACAGCAGCUUGUAAAGCCGUUUCGGUGAAAGUCGGUUGCGAGUUUUGGUCAUAGUACUCCCAGCUUUAGAGAACAAACGUUCAGAGGGCACAGGUGUCGCAGGAAUUCCCAAAUGCUUCUUUGAAUUUUUGUAUAGUUUUGAAUAUACCACUUUCAUGUCAUCCCAUUGUUUUAAAGGGUCGAAUGAAUGGUAUUCACCAGUAUGACUUUCAUCUAGAGCAACAGUGGCUAUGCAAGGAGACAUAAGAUUAUCAUUAUGCAAAAAAUGAACAGUAACUCCUAAAUAACUGAAAACUCGGUCCAAACAUCACAUUAUAAAAAUCAUCCAAUUGUGCUUUUAGCGUAUCAACGCUUGGAAUUUUAAAUGCUGGGCAGGCUUUUUUCAUCAAUUUGUUAAAUCGACGCAGAGUUUUGAAUGAUCUUGCCCGCCACCCGAAUACGAAAUUUUGCGUUCCAUUGAUUGUGUAAUGGUCAGUCGGUUUUUUUUAGAAAGAAAUUGGGCGGGAGCCAGGAUCCUUUGGCAAAGGUUAGUCGACACUAUGAGCCCACUAUGAAGCAUGGCGGUGGAAGUGUCAUGGUUGGGGCAUGCAUGGCGGCUUCGGGAGUUGGAAUCCUGGUUUUGAUCGAAGGCACAAUGGACAGACAUAUGUAUCUAUCAGUUUUAAAGGAGAAUUUACUUUAGAGUGGAGAGAAAUUAGGUCUAGAGGGCCGAUUCCGAUUUUAUUAAGACAAUGACCUAAAACACAAAUCCGGCAUUGUGAAGUCCUGGUUGAGCUGGGAUUGCCCACAUGUGGUCAGUCCUCCUGUCCAGUUUCCUGACCUUAAUGUGAUUGAAAAUUUGUGGGCAAAAUUUGACAUGACCAUGCGGAAAAGGUCAAUUUCCAAUAAAAAUGACCUUAAAAAUGCCCCACUGGAAGAAUGGGUAAAAAUAUCACCUGAAGUCACCAAAAAAUUGGUUUCCUCAAUGGAAACAAGCAUUAAAGAGGUGAUUAAACAAAAUGGGGGACACACCAAAUACUAGUUUAAUUUGUUUAGAAUAAAUUUUUAGGGUUAAAUGCAUUGCACGAAAUAAGCUGUGACAUAGAAAAGCCACUGAUAUUCAUUUUUUUAAUUUUU